rnacentral:lncRNA from 12 species
GUCCUAUCGGUCCCGCUGGUCUUCCUGGUCCACCUGGUUCAAAGGGAGAUAGAGGAGACAAAGGAGAAGAUGGGAAGCCUGGAGUCUCUGAGAGCGCAGGGAGUGAGUGUGUUCACUAUUUAAAAUGUACAUUAUAAAUGCAUUUAUAUCAUUAAUUCACUCUUCAUCUAAAUUGAGCAGAGAAAGCUACUUCUGAACCUGGUCCUCCUGGCCCACCUGGUCUGCCAGGACCACCUGGACCGCCGGGGAGUGAUGGAAAACCAGGUAUUGGUCAACCUGGUCCUCCUGGUGAAAAAGGUGAACCAGGAAGCUUUGUACCCACUUCAGAAACCUUCUUUGCCGGACCACCUGGGCCUCCUGGACCAAAGGGAUCACAAGGUCGAUCCAAUACACAUUACACACACACACACACACACACACACACACACAUAUAUAUAUAUAUAUAUAUUAUUUAUUUAAUUGUUUAUUUUUGAGAUCCUGUACCCUGUGAAUUCUAAUGUUUAAUGUCUUCUGUUCAGGUGAUAUUGGUCCUCAAGGUUUCCCUGGUAUGUAACAUUCAGUCACACAUACAGUAUAUAAUAAUCAUUCUGACAUUUUUGGAUUACAUCUAAACUUCUCUUUGAUCUUUUUCUGCUCAAGGCCAGCCUGGAUUACCUGGAGAACCUGGAAUCGGUUAGUGAUUCAGAUUUGUAUAAUUAAAAUAAAUAAAUAAAUAAAUAAAAAUUUUUUGUUAUUCUACAAUAGCUGGCUGGAAAGUUCACAUUAUUUUACCCUGAAUCCAGGUAUUCCAGGACAGCCAGGGAUACCAGGACCACGUGGAGAACAAGGUCCUGAGGGUCCACCAGGACCACAGGGACCUCAAGGACCAAUGGGUCCCAUGGGGCCAGAAGGUCCAAAAGGUACUUUGGAACAAACCUUAUCAGUGUUUUACAUAGUUUUACACAUAUGCCCAUGUAAAAAUAAUCCUCCGGUUGCAGUACAACACUUACAAUUGUAAAUGGAGUUAGUGUUUCUACAUCAGUUUACCAACAUUUUAAUUACACC